GUUUAUGAUGGGGUGUUGGAGGCGGGCUGGCAGCCGGAGACGGCGACGCCGGGGGCCGUGGCGUUAACGAGCAUCCCCUGUUGUUGUUUCCCUCCAGGAGCUACAACUCGAUUUUCACACCUGCGAGGACGCGCUCUCCCCGCCGGCGGGUCCGCAGCAGUCCGAGGUUCGCCCGGGUGCACGCAUCCCCCGGCGGCUAGGGCGCCCGGCGGGCAGAGCGGGCGGCCCGGCUGCUGGAGUGCUUCCUGGAGAGGGCGCGGGGCUGCGGGCAGCGGCCGUCACUGUGGCGGAGCACCCUCCACAUCGUGCUGCGACACUGCCCCGGCUACCGGCCGCCACAGGGCGCUGCCGCCGGGGAGGCGAGCCGAGGCCCGUGCGACGAGAGCAAGGCCCGGGAGCUGAUGGCGGUGUGGAGAAGCUACAUCAAUUUGGGAUAGGUGGCUUCUGGGGGGUGGCUUGUCAUUUUUUUUCUUCGCCGCCGGACUUUGCUGGAUAUUUAUUGCCCGCCAUCGCAAUGAAGUCAUCCUGCGGGUUGUUGUUGUUGGUUUUUUUUUUUUUUGGGGGGGGGGGGUGUCCCGCCCUAUAUAAUUUAUUAAAAAUAAACCAACAAGCAGUGACCGUCUUAAGUACAGAGGUGGUUCGCGCGGGUGUCCGGGUUGCGCCGUCGGAGGCCGGUGCAUCGGGCGCUGUGCGGGCUCUGCGGCGGGUCUUCCCCGCGGCCAGCGCCGGGGCCGGCCGCUUCUGCCUGAGGGGAACGGGGGGCGGGGGCGAUCCCCCCGCAGAAUAAAAGGUAAAGUCGCGCGGUGGUGGCUUUAGGGAGCCUGUGUGGGGGCGGUCGCGGGUGACGGCUCUCUGCGUGCCCGGGGCCCUCGGG